CCUACGGGUGGCAGCAGUGAGGAAUAUUGGUCAAUGGACGAGAGCCUGAACCAGCCAAGCCGCGUGAAGGAUGACUGCCCUCUGGGUUGUAAACUUCUUUUAUAUGGGAAUAAAAUGUUCCACGUGUGGGAUUUUGUAUGUACCAUAUGAAUAAGGAUCGGCUAACUCCGUGCCAGCAGCCGCGGUAAUACGGAGGAUGCGAGCGGUAGCCGGAUUUAUUGGGUUUAAAGGGAGCGUAGGUGGAUUGUUAAGUCAGUUGUGAAAGUUUGGGGCUCAACCGUAAAAUUGCAGUUGAAACUGGCAGUCUUGAGUACAGUAGGGGUGGGCGGAAUUCGUGGUGUAGCGGUGAAAUGCGUAGAUAUCACGAAGAAUUCCGAUUGCGAAGGCAGCUCACUGGACUGCAACUGACGCUGAGGCUCGAAAGUGUGGGUAUCAAACAGGAUUAGAUACCCUUGUAGUC
rnacentral:rRNA from 1 species